rnacentral:rRNA from 1 species
GAUGAACGCUGGCGGCGUGCCUAAUACAUGCAAGUCGAGCGAAUGGAUUAAGAGCUUGCUCUUAUGAAGUUAGCGGCGGACGGGUGAGUAACACGUGGGUAACCUGCCCAUAAGACUAGGAUAACUCCGGGAAACCGGGGCUAACACCGGAUAACAUUUUGAACCGCAUGGUUCGAAAUUGAAAGGCGGCUUCGGCUGUCACUUAUGGAUGGACCCGCGUCGCAUUAGCUAGUUGGUGAGGUAACGGCGCACCAAGGCAACGAUGCGUAGCCGACCUGAGAGGGUGAUCGGCCACACUGGGACUGAGACACGGCCCAGACUCCUACGGGAGACAGCAGUAGGGAAUCUUCCGCAAUGGACGAAAGUCUGACGGAGCAACGCCGCGUGAGUGAUGAAGGCCUUCGGGUCGUAAAACUCUGCUGUUAGGGAAGAACAAGUGCUAGUUGAAUAAGCUGGCACCUUGACGGUACCUAACCAGAAAGCCACGGCUAACUACGUGCCAGCCGCCGCGGUAA